GUCUCAGUUUCGAUCGACGCGUUACAUUCAGUUAUGCCAACUGGAUUUUUUACUUGAUCCGCUAUUAACAAUAGCACACUGCUGACAAAGCGAGAAAUAUGGAUAACUGUAAGGCGAAGAUUGUCUACAUAUUUUUUUGGGAAUUUACGUUAAUUGGACUGUUUGUCAUUGUGUGUGGUACGCCCCCAAAAGGAUAUACUCAACGACAAGGAGACUGCAGCGGUUAUGAUAUGAACAGAAUAUCAAAUACGGACCUUAGUCCCUGCAUCUCUUCUUGCAACAGGGAUAAGGCAUGCAUGGCUCUCAUGUACGACAGUAAAGGAAAAUUCUGCAUUCUCAAGACUAAAGUAGGAUGCCGCCUGCGCCUCACACAUGACGAUAGAUAUCUGUACUUUGAUAAGACAGAUACCAUGACCUUUGGAAUAUACUACAAGCGGACGACGUCUACGCCAUCGCAUGGUAUAGUGAGACAAACAAUAACGCCAUCAGGGAGCGAAGAAGAGUGCGCAGUUUCCUGUUCGAAUUACGGACCUUGCAGUGCCUUCGGAUACGACAGCUCAACAUUGAAGUGCCGUCUAUUGGCUAUCAUCGAAAACAAUACACUUGACCAAUCACAAUUUGGUGAGAGCGUCUUCUAUAUGAUGGAACUGUAAAGUCCUAGGCCGGUCGUGUUUACUGGUAUGUCAUGAUUUAACGAGGUGGCAAGAUAAGAUGCACUUCUUGUAAAGUCUUCAGAUAGCUUGACAGAUUUAGUUCUUUUUAUUUCCUGCUGCCGUAUGGAGAGGUGUACUUGGUUCCUUCACGUUCUUAAUACAAACAAGCAUUGUUUACUUGUACCAAAUGUGUCUCCGUGUUUUUGCUUUUCUGUACAUUUGAUAGUAAUUGUAAUUGCUAUAAUGUUCAGCAUUUUUUCAUCUUACGUAUCCAAUACAUCCUUAUUAUACGAACUGUCAUUGCUGAGGGCAAAGUCAUAUAACGGUUUAAAUAGCAUUCCGCGAUGAUGAGGUCACUGCAGCUGCUGCCCUCUAUUUCCUCAUCGCUGAAUUACAAGCAAUGUCGGACAAACAUGCGGUUUCGUAAUGGAUUCAGGCUUUCUAACUAGGGCAGUUAGAUUCAAUCUGGCACAUGUCCGAGUGUUGGAAAUACUACAUAAUUGUUCUGAAUAUUUCUCUUUCUGACUCUAUGGUAUCAUUCAUGCUAAAAACAAUGCAGGGUCAAAGAUAAUUGACUUUGAAAUAAGCUCA